UUACACACUCUGAGAGCAUCUUCACCCGUCCCCCAGAAAGGCCCCCGAGAGCACUUUUUCACCGCCGGCGGACAAAAAAAAUACCACUCACGUCCCCACGAGCCCGACUAGCGCCGGAUUUGGCUAAAAAUAGAGCCGGCGACCCCAAUGCAAACCCAGGGAGCUGGGGGCGCCUGGGGGGCUAUUUUCGCCGUUUUGCAGGUGCUGGCCCAUCUGCCAGUGUCUCUAUCCUCUCUCUUCCCUUUCCUUCCUUGGCCCACCACGUGCUCCCGUCCACACACGCCCAUCCCCUCUCUCUCUCUCUCAAGCCCGUCGGCCGCAUCAGGCGCUGCCUCGCCUCUACGCCCAGCGCGUCGGCUCCGGCGCCCCCGUCUACCUCGUCGCCGUCCUCCACAUCGUGCCGCGGAAGGGGGCGGGCAGCGGAGCAGUCGGCGCGGGCGUCGCAGGCGCGUGGAGGCGGGUCGCCACAAGGAGAGGAACAGCACGGGAGCUCGGAGGGGAGGAGCACCCGGCCGCGAGGGGCGGUGCGACGGCGCGCGGGAGCCGGUGCGCGACGGCGCGACGCGACGGCGCGUGGGAUUUGGUGCGCAGAGGCGCGAGGCGCGACGACGCGCGGUAAGGAGCCGGUGCGCGGCCCAGGAGGCGGCUGCGGAGGUGCGAACGCGGCCGGUGCGCAGCCCGGGAGGAGGCUGGCGCGGCGGCUAUAGCGCUCACCGCGGCGUUGGCGGUGAAGAGGAGCAGCAGCAUGGCGGGCGGAGAGAAGGGCGAGGCCAGUGUGAGCAGUAGCAGGAUGCCCACCGCGGCGCCGGCGACGAAGAGGAGCGCAUCACCGGGAGCAGGGAGCGCGCCAUGCCGGUGCCAGUGAUGCGAACCAGAGCAGCCCGGUGCCGUUGGCCGUCUAGGGGCGCUGUACUUCUAGUGCACCGCAAGCGCCGCGAUGCCAUGCCGGCACCGGCUCUCCGGGUGUGCGCGGAGCCCCGACCUGAGUUGCUCCUGGGCGUGACAGGCGGCUCGACGUCGGCUGCCGGCUGCUCGAUGUCUCCUCGAGCUUCUCAUCGCCUCCUUCCCCGUCGACGCUCGCGCUCCUCCGCUGGCUGGAGGUCGUCGACGCCGCCGCGGUCAAGAUGCUCGACGAAAUGCCGUUGCCUCCGAGGGAGCCCAACACUGCUUGUGGGGGCGCAACGAGUGGAAAAUUUUGCCCCACAAGGCCAAAACUUUUCGCCGAUAGCCCCCCAAACGGCGAAACUUCUGGAGGGCUCAACGGCUGGAGAUGCUCUGAGCAGGCAUGCAUGCCACGCGUAAAUGCAUCAACGUGAGUGAAUUCACCAUCCGUUCCUCCUCUCAUUCACACACGGAGUCGCCAUUGUCGACGUGAGAUGUCUUGCUCGGUUGCUCCGCUAGUUUCGAGUAGGAUGAACAAGGGCUGGAUGGAGUGCCAUAGGUCCAGAUAGACAAGCCGGAAAGGAGUCAUAGAGACAACCACCAUGAUUACAUCCAGCCAGAAAAAAAUAUGUACCAGCGGCCCAUGUCGUCAACUGCAGCCAGUACGCACAUGCCUCAACUUGGUGCCGCCUCCGUACGUCAUGUAGUAGUAGACUCGUGUACUAGGGUAGUCGUGCGACCCACGCACAAUACAUCGUUUUCGGGAGCUCGCGGCUAAAACAUUGAAUGCGCUGGCAACAUGUCAGAUCAGGUUGAUAUAUGGUCUUAGAUAUAGGACCAUAUGGUAGUAUGACCCAUAUUGCCGCUCUCACUAACAAUGAUUGUUCUAAAAAAUAUUAGACCCUUUUUAA